rnacentral:rRNA from 1 species
AGGCAGAUCACUAAUAAUGUAUUGACGCUGAUGGACGAAAGCGUGGGAGCGAACAGGANUAGAUACCCUGGUAGUCCACGCCGUAAACGAUNGUCACUAGCUGUUUGGUUCGAUUAAGGACUGAGUGGCUAAGCGAAAGUGAUAAGUGACCCACCUGGGGAGUACGUUCGCAAGAAUUAAACUCAAAGGAAUUGACGGGGGCCCGCACAAGCGGUGGAGCAUGUGGUUUAAUUCGAUGAUACGCGAGGAACCUUACCAAGGCUUAAAUGCACAAUGACGUACUUAGAGAUAGGUAUUUCUUCGGACAUUGUGCAAGAUGCUGCAUGGUUGUCGUCAGCUCGUGCCGUGAGGUGUCAGGUUAAGUCCUAUAACGAGCGCAACCCCUGUUGUUAGUUACCAGCACGUGAAGGUGGGGACUCUAACAAGACUGCCGGUGCAAACCGUGAGGAAGGUGGGGAUGACGUCAAAUCAUCACGGCCCUUACGUCUUGGGCUACACACGUGCUACAAUGGCCGGUACAGAGAGCAGCCACUUCGUGAGAAGGAGCGAAUCUUAUAAAGCCGGUCACAGUUCGGAUCGUAGUCUGCAACUCGACUACGUGAAGCUGGAAUCGCUAGUAAUCGCAUAUCAGCCAUGAU